GCUGAAGGGCUGGUUAAUGAAGAUACUCUCAAGUCAUUAGUAAGGGAGCCCUAAGUGCCUUGGAGGUCCUCCCAACUGAGAUUGUGCUAGGUGCUGUACAAACACCGAGAGAGAUUUCCUGCCCUGCACCGCUUAAAGAGUGCUGACCAAAGUCACUGAAAAGUCCAUGGUAGAGGCAGCAACAAAUCCAGAUCUCCUCCAUCUAAACCCAGUGCCUUAAUUGCAACUCCAUCUUUCAUCUCUCAUUUGUAACUGCCACCCAACUACAGGGCUCCUGCCAGACCUUAAGACAGCUGAUCUAUACAGCUGGGGUAGAUCUGUAAACCAGGGUCAUUGUGGGAACUGUGACUGAAAAUAGCAGCCCAGUCAACAGAUAUUGCUUGGUUGACUGUAUCCUGGAAAGCAGUGGCUCAGGAAAGGAGUUGGGGUAACGGUAGAUAACCAGCUGACCAUAAGCUACCAGUGCAUUGCUAUGGCUAAGAGGUCUAUGGCGACUGAUGGAUGCAUAAGCAAGAGACUAUUAAGUAGGAGUUGGGAGGAUAUAUUCCCUCUAUGUACUAGGCUGGCGAGAUUGUUUCUGAACCUCUUCUAAUUUGCCAACAUCCUUUCUGAAGUGUGGACACCAGAACUGGACACAGUGUUCCAGUAACAAUCUACAAGAGUGAUGCAAGGUCUGGAAGUAUGCUGUACCCUGAGGGACACAAGAGGCACAAGCUAUUUGUUUCCAAAGAGAUGGUUAAGAGGUGACUUGAUCAUGGUCUGGAAGUACCUGCACUGGGAGAUGAUUUCUAAUUGUACAGGGCUCUUUAAUUUUGCAGACAAAGGCCUAACAAGUGCCAUGGUUGGAAUCUGGAGGUAGCUAAAGAUUGGAUGUCUUUCUACAAAAUAUACUCUAGCUCAACCACAAGAACAGGGCUUGGUACCAGAAUUACUGAGUGACAUUCUCUGGCCUGUGCAAUGCGGGAGGUUAGAUUAGAUGACCCUUUGAUUCUUAAAGUUUAUGAACCUAUGAAUUAUUUGGGCACAAAUUCACAUACAGGCCUGUGCAAGUUUGUUGAUGCCUAGUUCACACAAAUCUGCCCGUGUAUGCAGGCAGCAGCUGUGCCCACACAUAUCCAUAGGAAACUCUGGUUUGUACACACUUGGGGAGCCAGGUUGGUGGAAAAAGUGUGUCCCAAGGUGUGGCCCUAUCUGAAAACAUACAGUAGAAAGUAUAUUCUCCCUAGCAUUGCUCCACCCAGGACCAUUCAUCUCUAAUCCCCCCUUUCCCCCAACAAAGUGAAAUGCAAGCCAACUGGUGACAGGAAUGUUUUAUUAUUUUUCAGUAAUGGAAACACAUUCACAUUUGGCUCAAGGACUGAGGAAGGAGACAAGAUGAGAUAUGAUGCUCAGGUGGCUAUUAGGCUGGCAGCAAACUCCAGGCAUAGUGCAAUUGGUACAGUAUCUGUGAGGUGAAAGAACAAGGAAAGCCAUGAUGCCCCUCUGCCCUGACCCUCAGCAGCCUCUGCUAUAAAUCCUGAGAGAUGAGGAGUGCAGCAACCUCCCUGGGGGUUUCACUGGGGCACUUGUCUGGACAACAGGAAGACUGAAGGGGGUUCUGAGAGUAGGAGACUCCUCACAGCUCAAUAGGGCAUGAAGGUCUCCCCGCUCAGGAACAAAUCAUUCUGCUCACUCCAGGCACUUGGACAGUUGUCCAAAGAAUUUAAUACACAAGAAACUACACAACUAAAAUUUCAAUUUGAACUCCAUGCCUGUGACAAAACCAAAGGGAUCAACGUGUGGG